rnacentral:rRNA from 1 species
UACGUAGGGUGCGAGCGUUGUCCGGAAUUAUUGGGCGUAAAGGGCUCGUAGGCGGUUUGUCGCGUCGGGAGUGAAAACUCAGGGCUUAACCCUGAGCCUGCUUCCGAUACGGGCAGACUAGAGGUAUGCAGGGGAGAAUGGAAUUCCUGGUGUAGCGGUGAAAUGCGCAGAUAUCAGGAGGAACACCGGUGGCGAAGGCGGGACUCUGGGCCGAUACUGACGCUGAGGAGCGAAAGCGUGGGGAGCAAACAGG